rnacentral:rRNA from 1 species
GAUGUACGCUGGCGGCGUGCUUAACACAUGCAAGUCGAACGAAGCACCUUGGAAUGCGUCUUCGGACAAGUAAAUUGGUGACUUAGUGGCGGACGGGUGAGUAACGCGUGGGUAACCUGCCUCACACAGGGGGAUAACAGUUAGAAAUGACUGCUAAAACCGCAUAACAUGGCGAGACCGCAUGACCUUGCCAUCAAAUAUUUAUAGGUGUGAGAUGGGCCCGCGUCUGAUUAGCUAGUUGGUAGGGUAAUGGCCUACAAAGGCGACGAUCAGUAGCCGGCUUGAGAGAGUGAACGGCCACAUUGGGACUGAGACACGGCCCAAACUCCUACGGGAGGCAGCAGUGGGGGAUAUUGGACAAUGGGGGAAACCCUGAUCCAGCGACGCCGCGUGAGUGAAGAAGUAUUUCGGUAUGUAAAGCUCUAUCAGCAGGGAAGAAAAAUAACCAAAUUGACUGUACCUGACUAAGAAGCCCCGGCUAACUACGUGCCAGCCGCCGCAGUAAGAC